rnacentral:rRNA from 1 species
CGGCGUGCUUAACACAUGCAAGUCGAGCGGUAAGCCCCUUCGGGGUACACGAGCGGCGAACGGGUGAGUAACACGUGGGUGACCUGCCCCCUACUCUGGGAUAAGCCUGGGAAACUGGGUCUAAUACCGGAUAUGACUGCUGGUUGCAUGACUGGUGGUGGAAAGUUUUUCGGUGGGGGAUGGGCCCGCGGCCUAUCAGCUUGUUGGUGGGGUGAUGGCCUACCAAGGCGACGACGGGUAGCCGGCCUGAGAGGGCGACCGGCCACACUGGGACUGAGACACGGCCCAGACUCCUACGGGAGGCAGCAGUGGGGAAUAUUGCGCAAUGGGCGGAAGCCUGACGCAGCGACGCCGCGUGGGGGAUGACGGCCUUCGGGUUGUAAACCUCUUUCGGCCCCGACGAAGCGUGAGUGACGGUAGGGGUAGAAGAAGCACCGGCCAACUACGUGCCAGCAGCCGCGGUAACACGUAGGGUGCGAGCGUUUUCCGGAAUUAUUGGGCGUAAAGAGCUCGUAGGCGGUGUGUCGCGUCGGCCGUGAAAACCUGCAGCUUAACUGUGGGCUUGCGGUCGAUACGGGCAUCACUGGAGUUCGGCAGGGGAGACUGGAAUUCCUGGUGUAGCGGCGAAAUGCGCAGAUAUCAGGAGGAACACCGGUGGCGAAGGCGGGUCUCUGGGCCGAUACUGACGCUGAGGAGCGAAAGCGUGGGGAGCGAACAGGAUUAGAUACCCUGGUAGUCCACGCCGUAAACGAUGUCAACUAGCCGUUGGAAGCCUUGAGCUUUUAGUGGCGCAGCUAACGCAUUAAGUUGACCCCCCGGGGAGC